UACAGAGGUCUCAAGCGUUGUUCGGAUUCAUUGGGCGUAAAGGGUGCGUAGGUGGCGCGCUAAGUCAGGUGUGAAAUUUCGGAGCUUAACUCCGAAACUGCAUUUGAUACUGGCGUGCUUGAGGACUGGAGAGGAGACUGGAAUUCAUGGUGUAGCAGUGAAAUGCGCAGAUAUCAGGAGGAACACCGGUGGCGAAGGCGGCGUUCUGGACUGUCUCUGACACUGAGGUGCGAAAGCGUGGGGAGCAAACAGG
rnacentral:rRNA from 1 species